rnacentral:rRNA from 1 species
GACGAACGCUGGCGGCGUGCUUAACACAUGCAAGUCGAACGGAAAGGCCUCUUUCGGGGGUACUCGAGUGGCCAAAGGGUGGGUAACCCCGUAGUUACCUUCCCUUUACCUUGGGAUUAAUUCAGGAAACUUGGGCCAAUUCCCGAUAGGAGCUCCCUCUGCCUGGUGGGGGGUUGGAAGUUUCGGCGGUUGGGGAUGGACUCGCGGCUUAUCAGCUUGUUGGUGGGGUAGUGGCUUACCAAGGCUUUGACGGGUAGCCGGCCUGAGAGGGUGACCGGCCACAUUGGGACUGAGAUACGGCCCAGACUCCUACGGGAGGCAGCAGUGGGGAAUAUUGCACAAUGGGUGGAAGCCUGAUGCAGCAACGCCGUGUGCGGGAUGACGGCCUUCGGGUUGUAAACCGCUUUCGCUCAUGACGAAGCUUUGUGUGACGGUAGUGGGUAAAGAAGCACCGGCUAACUACGUG